AUACAUUACAUUGACAUACAUACAUUGCUUUAAAAAAGUUGACGUAUGUUUAAGCUUCCUUUACCAUGGAGUGGAGUUUAGUCCGCUAAUGUAGGUAUAACUAAAGACAGGUACAGGUUUCAUUUAACAGACAAGACAACGUCCUCGUCAUUUGCUCAUGUGGGAUGUCCUGCACAAGUCCUUAAUCAACACGAAUAUGAGCCAUGAUGAUCUGGACGAGACUGCCGAAUCAAGGCAAAGUUGAAGUUGUUGACUGAUGCCAUGGCGGCGGCUGCUAAGUAGAAGGGAGCUUCUGCAAACCAGAAGUCUGCAGUCAAGGCAGCACUGGUCCACACCUGCCUUGGGUCUGAUGCAUUCAAGCAGCACUUUGAGAGAAAGCAUCCCGAGUCUCCAACGGUCCCAGUACUGGUUGAUGUUCAGGCCUAAGGGACACCACACACUCAAAUGGGCCUACAACCAGGACACACCAUGAUGACCACGAUUUCAAUGAUGCAAUUGAGACGGAAUGACGUGAGGGACCCUGAGGAUGACUGGACAUGGACCGGAUAUUUGUGACAACGACCUAGAAGGGAUGCAGAAACAUAUUAUGUUUAAACCAUAGCUAGGCAUCUCUCUAGGUACCCCUUAUUCCACACUGUCUUUUAUAGUCCCUCAACUUUGGACACUUUGGAACUUACGUUCACCCAUUUUCCAUAUGCUGCUUCCUUCACUUGUUCUUCUCCUGAUUGGAUAACAUCUAGACUCAGGAACGCAUUUAAACAUUUUGUGUUGUACUGUUCUUGCUACCUAAUGCAAUCCUUUUACAUUAAACCUACCUUACACAUCCAGUUGUUUCUCCAUUUGUAACUCACCCACCAAAAAUCCCAAUAUGCUGUCUUACAUUUUGUGUGAUUUGUUCUGGUCUAAUUCCUAUAAUGAAAAAGCAGAAGAAUGUGUGCGCUCUCGGAUAGUACUACUAUUUCACAUGGUGCUCUUCAAUGUCCCAGGUUUAUGGCAUUGAUGAAUAAAUCAUUUUAUGUUUACCUAUAUUCAGAUGUGUAUAUGUUAUGUAUAAAAGGCUUAUGUAUACAUUUUUUACUAUUGAUUUAUUUAAAACAAUGUAAUUGUUAGAGU